CACCCCCGACCAAAGCCUUUCAAAAGCCCCACGACCGGGAGCAGCCCAGGCCAACACCGAGCCCUUGGUACAGGCAGCGGAGGAGCCAGAAUGGGGUUCCAUCCUAGCCGAUUCUGUGUUUCAGUCUUCCUUCUGUCAUGAUGGUCUGUCAACAGCGCUGUUACGGAGCUUUAUAUCAUGAUUUGAUUCCAGCCUCGGAUUCUCCAGCACUUGGGCCCAAAGCAUCCUUAUCAAGGACUUUCGUCACAGACACAGUUACAUGAACAAGCUAAGGGGAGGUUUGUAUUGGGCAUGAAUUUGGUGAAAUGAAAAGGCUUGUGUCUACACUUCUGGUAAUUCUGUGUAAUUUAAUUGGAGUAACUCAAACUUCAAAUGGAGUAAAUCAAAGAUAUAAUGGAGUAUGUCAAAGUUCUAAUAGAGUAUGUCAAACUAUAAUAGAGUAUGUCAAGCUUUAGUGAAUCAUAUUUUCUCCAUAUGAGAAUGUUUUUAAAUCUUGUUUUGAACAAAUCAAUAAAUAUGUUAUAUAAAUGUCAGA